rnacentral:rRNA from 1 species
UGGGGAAUAUUGCACAAUGGAGGGAACUCUGAUGCAGCGACGCCGCGUGAACGAAGAAGGCUUUCGAGUCGUAAAGUUCUUUUAUAUGGGAAGAUAAUGACGGUACCAUAAGAAAAAGCCCCGGCUAACUACGUGCCAGCAGCCGCGGUAAUACGUAGGGGGCUAGCGUUGUCCGGAAUCACUGGGCGUAAAGGGUUCGCAGGCGGAAAUGCAAGUCAGGUGUAAAAGGCAGAAGCUUAACUACUGUAAGCAUUUGAAACUGCAUAUCUUGAGAAGAGUAGAGGUAAGUGGAAUUUUUAGUGUAGCGGUGAAAUGCGUAGAUAUUAAAAAGAAUACCGGUGGCGAAGGCGGCUUACUGGGCUCAUUCUGACGCUGAGGAACGAAAGCGUGGGUAGCAAACAGG